rnacentral:rRNA from 1 species
UACGUAGGGGGCAAGCGUUGUCCGGAAUCAUUGGGCGUAAAGCGCGUGUAGGCGGCUCGGUAAGUCCGCUCUGAAAGUCCAGGGCUCAACCCUGGGAUGCGGGUGGAUACUGCCGGGCUCGAGUCCGGAAGAGGCGAGUGGAAUUCCCGGUGUAGCGGUGAAAUGCGCAGGUAUCGGGAGGAACACCAAUGGCGAAGGCAGCUCGCUGGGACGUGACUGACGCUGAGACGCGAAAGCGUGGGGAGCAAACAGGG